rnacentral:rRNA from 1 species
AAGCUGUCGCUAAAAGGAUGGACCUGCGAUGCAUUAGCUAGUUGGUAAGGUUAACGGCUUACCAAGGCGAUGAUGCAUAGCCGAGUUGAGAGACUGAUCGGCCACAUUGGGACUGAGACACGGCCCAAACUCCUACGGGAGGGCAGCAGUAGGGAAUCUUCCACAAUGGACGCAAGUCUGAUGGAGCAACGCCGCGUGAGUGAAGAAGGUUUUCGGAUCGUAAAGCUCUGUUGUUGGUGAAGAAGGAUAGAGAUAGUAACUGGCCUUUAUUUGACGGUAAUCAACCAGAAAGUCACGGGCUAACUACGUGCCAGCAGCCGCGGUAAAU